AUGAUCUCCAGCUUGCUGGGGGGAUUAGUGGCGAACGGGUGAGUAACACGUGAGUAACCUGCCCUUGACUCUGGGAUAAGCCUGGGAAACUGGGUCUAAUACCGGAUAUGACUCCUCAUCGCAUGGUGGGGGGUGGAAAGCUUUUUGUGGUUUUGGAUGGACUCGCGGCCUAUCAGCUUGUUGGUGAGGUAAUGGCUCACCAAGGCGACGACGGGUAGCCGGCCUGAGAGGGUGACCGGCCACACUGGGACUGAGACACGGCCCAGACUCCUACGGGAGGCAGCAGUGGGGAAUAUUGCACAAUGGGCGCAAGCCUGAUGCAGCGACGCCGCGUGAGGGAUGACGGCCUUCGGGUUGUAAACCUCUUUCAGUAGGGAAGAAGCGAAAGUGACGGUACCUGCAGAAGAAGCGCCGGCUACUCCUGCC
rnacentral:rRNA from 1 species